rnacentral:rRNA from 1 species
CAGCCGCCGCGGUAAUACGUAGGUGGCAAGCGUUGUCCGGAAUUAUUGGGCGUAAAGGGCUCGCAGGCGGUUUCUUAAGUCUGAUGUGAAAGCCCCCGGCUCAACCGGGGAGGGUCAUUGGAAACUGGGAAACUUGAGUGCAGAAGAGGAGAGUUGAAUUCCACGUGUAGCGGUGAAAUGCGUAGAGAUGUGGAGGAACACCAGUGGCGAAGGCGGCGACCUGGUCCUUUACUGACGCUGAGGCGCGAAAGCGUGGGGAGCAAACAGGAUUAGAUACCCCAGUAGUCCCUGUCUCUUAUAC